GCACUGAGAUCACCAGUGUACUAGCACCUUACAGAUUUCACUCCUCAGCCUUGGAUCUACAUCUCUUUUUCUAGAUCUCAAAAAAAGAGAUCGUUGCACGAACUCUUUCGCACUGAUCUGUCGGGAUCGAAAUUAGAUCAUUAAGAAAGAAAAAAGAACCAUUCUUCUUCUCUUCUUCUCUCUUAAAUCUAAUCUCUAUCAGAUCUGGGCAUUGAGAUGUUAGGAAGAAAGGAGGAGGAGGUGUUGAGAUGAAAGUUAUCCUAAAGAAGUCGCCCACUUCUUUUUUACACCAAAAACCUCACACCCCC
rnacentral:lncRNA from 1 species